rnacentral:lncRNA from 1 species
AUUUCUUUUAAAAAGUCAUUAAAUUUUUGGUAAGAUUUACAUUGAAUCUGUAGGCUUCUUCAAGGAGUAUUGCCAUUUUGACAAUAUUAAUUCCAAUGAUCCAUGAAUAUGGGAUGUUUUCUCAUUUAUUUAGGUCUUAUUUAGUUUCUGUCAGCAAAUUUUAUAGUUUUCAUUGUGCAAAUCUUUUGCCUUUUUGGCUAACUUUAUUUUGGGGUAUUUUAGUCUUCUGGAUUCUAUUGUAAAAAUUGUUAAUUUUCUUUUUAGAUUGUCCAUUGCUAAUGUAUUGAAAUUCAACUGGUUUUUGUGUGUUGAGCUUGCCCCCUGAAACUUUGUUGAAUUUGUUUAGUAGCUCAAGUAGUUUAUAUGUAUAUGUGCAUGCCUGCGUGUGUGCAUGUGUAUUUUUGGAUUGUCUAUGUACAUAGUCAUUUGAUCUGUAAAUAAACAUAGAUUUAUUUCUUCCUUUUCAACUCAGAUGGUGUUUAUUAUUUAUUUAUUUAUUUUAAAUAAAUGACAGCAGAAUGCAUUACAAUUCUUAUUACACAUAUACAGCACAAUUUUUCAUAUCUCUGGUUG